CCCUGUGAGGGGAGUGAAAUAGAACCUGAAACCGUGUACGUACAAGCAGUAGGAGCAGGCUUUGUCCUGUGACUGCGUACCUUUUGUAUAAUGGGUCAGCGACUUAUAUUCAGUGGCAAGGUUAACCAUCUAGGGGAGCCGUAGGGAAACCGAGUCUUAACUGGGCGUUCAGUCUCUGGAUAUAGACCCGAAACCAGGUGAUCUAGCCAUGGGCAGGUUGAAGGUUGAGUAACAUCAACUGGAGGACCGAACCGACUAAUGUUGAAAAAUUAGCGGAUGACUUGUGGCUAGGGGUGAAAGGCCAAUCAAACCUGGAGAUAGCUGGUUCUCCCCGAAAGCUAUUUAGGUAGCGCCUCGGACGAAUACUACUGGGGGUAGAGCACUGUUAAGGCUAGGGGGUCAUCCCGACUUACCAACCCUUUGCAAACUCCGAAUACCAGUAAGUACUAUCCGGGAGACACACGGCGGGUGCUAACGUCCGUCGUGGAGAGGGAAACAACCCAGACCGCCAGCUAAGGUCCCAAAUUACUACUAAGUGGGAAACGAUGUGGGAAGGCUCAGACAGCCAGGAUGUUGGCUUAGAAGCAGCCAUCAUUUAAAGAAAGCGUAAUAGCUCACUGGUCGAGUCGGCCUGCGCGGAAGAUGUAACGGGGCUAAGUAGUAAACCGAAGCUGCGGCAAUAUACUUUUGUAUAUUGGGUAGGGGAGCGUUCUGUAAGCGGUUGAAGGUGUGUGGUAACGCAUGCUGGACGUAUCAGAAGUGCGAAUGCUGACAUGAGUAACGAUAAAGGGGGUGAAAAACCUCCUCGCCGGAAGACCAAGGGUUCCUGUCCAACGUUAAUCGGGGCAGGGUAAGUCGACCCCUAAGGCGAGGCCGAAAGGCGUAGUCGAUGGGAAACGGGUUAAUAUUCCCGUACUUCUUACAAUUGCGAUGGGGGGACGGAGAAGGCUAGGUGGGCCUGGCGACGGUUGUCCAGGUUCAAGUGCGUAGGCUUAAGAGUUAGGUAAAUCCGGCUCUUUUUAAGGCUGAGACACGACGUCGAGCACCUACGGGUGUGAAGUCAUUGAUGCCAUGCUUCCAGGAAAAGCCUCUAAGCUUCAGAUUGUAAGGAAUCGUACCCCAAACCGACACAGGUGGUCGGGUAGAGAAUACCAAGGCGCUUGAGAGAACUCGGGUGAAGGAACUAGGCAAAAUGGUACCGUAACUUCGGGAGAAGGUACGCUCUCGACGGUGAAGUCCCUUGCGGAUGGAGCUAUUGAGAGUCGCAGAUACCAGGUGGCUGCAACUGUUUAUUAAAAACACAGCACUGUGCAAAAUCGUAAGAUGACGUAUACGGUGUGACGCCUGCCCGGUGCCGGAAGGUUAAUUGAUGGGGUUAGACUUCGGUCGAAGCUCUUGAUCGAAGCCCCGGUAAACGGCGGCCGUAACUAUAACGGUCCUAAGGUAGCGAAAUUCCUUGUCGGGUAAGUUCCGACCUGCACGAAUGGCGUAAUGAUGGCCACGCUGUCUCCACCCGAGACUCAGUGAAAUUGAAAUCGCUGUGAAGAUGCAGUGUACCCGCGGCUAGACGGAAAGACCCCGUGAACCUUUACUACAGCUUGGCACUGAACAUUGACCCUACAUGUGUAGGAUAGGUGGGAGGCUUUGAAGCACGUACGCCAGUAUGUGUGGAGCCGUCCUUGAAAUACCACCCUUGUAGUGUUGAUGUUCUAACGUCGACCCCUAAUCGGG
rnacentral:rRNA from 17 species